rnacentral:rRNA from 1 species
UUUUUAAUGGUUGACCUCGGAUCAGGUAGGAAUACCCGCUGAACUUAAGCAUAUCAAUAAGGCGGCA